rnacentral:rRNA from 1 species
GACGAACGCUGGCGGCGUGCUUAACACAUGCAAGUCGAACGGAAAGGCCCUGCUUUUGUGGGGUGCUCGAGUGGCGAAACGGUUAAUUAACACUGGAGUAACCUGCCCUUAAUUUUGGGAUAACUUCAGGAAACUGGGGCUAAUACCGGUUGGGGCCUCUGCCUGCUGGUGGGGGGUUGGAAAGUUUCGGCGGUGGGGGAUGGACUCGCGGCUUAUCAGCUUGUUGGUGGGGUAGUGGCUUACCAAGGCUUUGACGGGUAGCCGGCCUGAGAGGGUGACCGGCCACAUUGGGACUGAGAUACGGCCCAGACUCCUACGGGAGGCAGCAGUGGGGAAUAUUGCACAAUGGGCGGAAGCCUGAUGCAGCAACGCCGCGUGCGGGAUGACGGCCUUCGGGUUGUAAACCGCUUUCGCCUGUGACGAAGCGUGAGUGACGGUAAUGGGUAAAGAAGCACCGGCUAACUACGUG